AGGGUUCGAUUCUGGCUCAGGAUGAACGCUAGCUACAGGCUUAACACAUGCAAGUCGAGGGGCAUCGGGAAGAAAGCUUGCUUCUUGCCGGCGACCGGCGCACGGGUGAGUAACGCGUAUCCAACCUUCCCCUUAGUAGCGGAUAGCCCGGCGAAAGUCGGAUUAAUACGCUAUGUUAUCCGAAGAGGACAUCUGAAUUGGAUUAAAGAUUGAUCGCUAAGGGAUGGGGAUGCGUCUGAUUAGGUAGUCGGCGGGGUAACGGCCCACCGAGCCAACGAUCAGUAGGGGUUCUGAGAGGAAGGUCCCCCACAUUGGAACUGAGACACGGUCCAAACUCCUACGGGAGGCAGCAGUGAGGAAUAUUGGUCAAUGGACGAGAGUCUGAACCAGCCAAGUAGCGUGCAAGGAUGACGGCCCUAUGGGUUGUAAACUGCUUUUAUGCGGGGAUAAAGUGCACCACGUGUGGUGUUUUGUAGGUACCGCAUGAAUAAGGACCGGCUAAUUCCGUGCCAGCAGCAGC
rnacentral:rRNA from 1 species